ACAAGGUCAAGUUAUAAAGAGCAUAGGGCGGAUGCCUUGGCACUAGGAGUCGAUGAAGGACGUAGUAAGCUGCGAUAAGCAUCGGGGAACCGCAAGCAGGUUUUGAUCCGGUGAUUUCCGAAUGGGGGAACCCAGCUAGGGUAAUACCUAGUUACCCACUACUGAAUAAAUAGGUAGUGAGGAGACAGACCAGGGGAACUGAAACAUCUAAGUACCCUGAGGAAGAGAAAGAAAAAUCGAUUCCCUAAGUAGCGGCGAGCGAAAGGGGAUAAGCCCAAACCUAAGGAGUUUCUCUUUAGGGGUUGCGGAUAUACUCAUUAAGAAUGAAGAAUUUGUAGCCGAAGAGAUCUGGAAAGGUCUACGAUACAAGGUAAUAGUCCUGUAGGCAAAACUUAGACGAAUUCGAGUAUAAUCCAGAGUACCACGAGACACGUGAAACCUUGUGGGAAGCA
rnacentral:rRNA from 1 species